GCAAGGGCAGGCACAGGAGCCGCAGUUGGGAGAGGCGCUGCGCUGCGCCUCUCCCAACCGCAGCUCCUAUGCCUGCUCUUGC
rnacentral:miRNA from 1 species